AUGCUUCCUCCAACAUCAUCUGAUACCGCCGUAACAAAAUUCGUGGCAGAGCACAAACUGCUAAUGCAUCGGGAAUCAAACACAACUGGGAUUCUAGAAUUCUAGGAGAACUACCAACACCUUAAUCUCUCGUCUUUCAUUUCAAUAUGGGCAGGUCCCUGGUCUCCUCUGCUAACUUUGCUCUGAAAUUUUCUAAAAGACCCAGAUCAAUUUUACCCCCAAGUUUACCAAGCCAGUCUAUUCCCCUCAACUCAAGGCAGCAAUUGCGACAUGGGUCUCAAAGAUUGGGACUUUCAAUUUCCAAACCAACAAGAACUCUCUGCACCAAAGCUGUGCUAUCCGAAAUUCCAAAUCAGAAGCAGUAUGUGAAAGUGGGUGCCCCAUCAACUGGGCCCAUCCCAGCUGGUCAGCUCAUUGAAGUGGUUGAGAAGGCUGCUAAGACUGGUGCUGAGGUUGUGAUGGAUGCUGUUAAUAAGCCUCAGAAUAUUACCUAUAAAGGACUUACUGACCUGGUUACUGACACAGAUAAAAAGAGUGAAGGGGCCAUAUUAGAAGUUGUGGAAAAGAACUUUCCAGACCACCUUAUUCUUGGAGAAGAGGGUGGAAUUAUUGGAGAUGCAUCAUCUGACUAUCUGUGGUGCAUCGAUCCAUUAGAUGGAACGACAAAUUUUGCACAUGGUUACCCUAGCUUUGCAGUUUCUGUGGGAGUUCUAUAUCGAGGAAAACCUGCUGCUUCUGCUGUGGUAGAGUUUGUUGGAGGCCCAAUGUGUUGGAACACUCGCAUCUUUUCUGCUAGUGCUGGUGGGGGAGCAUUUUGUAAUGGCCAAAAGAUUCACGUGAGUCAGACAGAUAAGGUGGAACGAUCUCUUCUUGUUACUGGGUUUGGUUAUGAACACGAUGAUCCAUGGGCCACCAACAUAGAACUAUUCAAAGAAUUCACUGAUGUCAGCAGGGGUGUGAGAAGGCUCGGUGCUGCUGCAGUAGACAUGUGCCACGUAGCUCUUGGUAUCGUAGAAGCAUACUGGGAAUAUCGACUAAAGCCAUGGGAUAUGGCUGCUGGUGUUUUGAUAGUUGAGGAAGCUGGAGGCGUGGUUACAUGCAUGGAUGGUGGAAAAUUUUGUGUCUUUGAUAGAUCUGUUUUGGUAUCCAAUGGAAUGCUGCAUUCCAAGCUUUUGGAGAGGAUUGCACCAGCAACUGAGAAUUUGAAGAGCAAAGAAAUUGAUUUCUCAUUGUGGUAUAAGCCUGACAAUUACAGGACAGAACUUUAAAUCUACUGAAAAUUACUUACUUUUUUGGCCAAGACUGCUGGAAGCAUAAGUAAGGGAAGGCCAGCGCCAGUAACGAUUGUCUUCAGCCCAAGUGAUUUUGAGAUCCCUUGGAUACACCAUGAAGCAGUUGUUGGACUUCUUGUCAACCCAAUACUUCUGUAAUAACAGUGACAUUGUUAGUACUCGGGGGAGAAAAAAAAA